UACAGAGGUCCCAAGCGUUGUUCGGAUUCACUGGGCGUAAAGGGUGCGUAGGUGGUGGGGUAAGUUCGAUGUGAAAUCUCCGAGCUUAACUCGGAAAUGGCAUUGAAUACUAUCUCACUCGAGGGUCGGAGGGGAGACUGGAAUUCUCGGUGUAGCAGUGAAAUGCGUAGAUAUCGAGAGGAACACCAGUGGCGAAGGCGAGUCUCUGGACGACAUCUGACACUGAGGCACGAAAGCUAGGGGAGCAAACAGG
rnacentral:rRNA from 1 species